UCUUCAAUAAACCCUAAUUUCCUCAUUCUCUCAAAACCUUAUCCAUUUCCUUAAACCAUGUCUACCUCUGCAACAUCCUUAGUACUUCCAUCUCUCUUCACCAAAAACUCCCCUCAAUGUUUCUCUUCACUCCCUUCUCUUUCCCUCAACCCUAAUUUCAAACCCUUUUCCUUUUCCUCUGUUUCUCUUCGUCCAUCUUUGUCUAUUUCCCAUCGUUUCAUUUCUCGUGUCGCUGUUUCUUCUGAAUUUGACCAGGAAGAAGAUACCUUUGAUGAUGGUGAUGAUACCCCUAGUUAUUCUCCUAACCAGAGGUUGUUUGUUGGUAACCUUCCUUUCAGUGUUGACAGUGCUCAACUUGCUGAGAUUUUUGAAAACGCUGGGGAUGUUGAAAUGGUCGAGGUAACUUGCUUAAUUAGAUACCCUUUUGGAUGAAAAUGAUUGGGUUUGUGAUAAUUUCUUAUAAAGUUUGGUUUUUUAUGGUUUAACUGGAUACCCUUUUGGAUGAAAAUUAUUGGGUAAAGGUUAAUUUAUUACAAAGUUUGGUUUUUUAUUGUUUAAUUGAGCACCCUUUUGGAUGAAAAAUAAUGGGCUUGUGGUGAAUUUAAUUGGAUUGGUGUUAAAUUUUGAAAUUUGUGUUUUUUCUAGGUGAUUUAUGAUAAGAGUACUGGAAGAAGCAGAGGAUUUGGUUUUGUUACUAUGUCUUCUGCAGCUGAAGUUGAAGCGGCUGCUCAGCAGUUGAAUGGCUAUGUGAGUUUAUUUUUCAUCAUUUGUUUGAUGAUUAUUUAGAUGUUUUGUUUUUAGAAUUUCAGUUUUUGUUAGUUGUUUGAAAUUGAGUAUGGUAAUUGUUGUGUGUGUAUGAGUAAUUAAAUUAAGUUCAAAUGUUAUUGGGUAUGAAUGUGACUGCAGUACCAUAAUAGUACACAAUUUGCUCACACAAACAUGUUUUAAUUUAAUUUAAUCAAUGGUUUAAUUAUGUAUUGAUGAAUUUAAAUAGUUACAAGUAAUUAGGCAUACCCCUUGUAUAGGUAUUUUAUCAAAAUGUGGAUAAGGUGAUAACUAUGGUAGUACCUUAUCCACAUCUACCCAUUGUAACUCCUAUAUCUGAGUUUGCAUGAUGUGAAAAGUGAAUAUGUUUUGCUAUUGUUUGUUAUUCUUUGCUGUGUUAUGAAUGGUUUUGGCCGUUUUGUUUAUAACAUCUAAGGAAACAUUUUUUGAAAUUUACAGGUGGUGGAUGGAAGAGAAUUGAGAGUGAAUGCUGGACCACCACCUCCUCCUCGUAGUGAGAACUCCCGUUUUGGUGAGAAUCCUCGUUUUGGUGGUGAUCGUCCAAGAGGUCCUCCAAGAGGUGGUUCUUCAGAUGGUGACAACCGUGUUCAUGUUGGUAACCUUGCUUGGGGUGUUGACAACUUGGCACUUGAGUCAUUGUUUGGUGAACAAGGACAGGUUUUGGAAGCAAAGGUAAUCUAUGACAGGGAAAGUGGAAGAUCUAGAGGAUUUGGCUUUGUGACUUUCAGUAGCGCUGAUGAGGUCGACAGUGCUAUUCGAACCUUAGAUGGCGCGGUAUGCAUGCAAAUCCCUCCUCUAUGCAACAUGAUGCACUUUUUAAUUUCAUAAUUCAAAUUAGUUUUAUGUUACUUUUAGAUUAUGAGUUAGAAUUCUGGGACCCUAAUUUUUUAAUUAUGAAGGGGUUAAGUCCCUUGGAGGUUUCAAAGUCAUUGAGUUGUAAUUUUGUGUCUUUGACUCUUCAUGUGUGAAUUGGUGUUAUGUAAAGCUAUAUUAUGUAUCUUCAAUUAUGUAUUUAACCACCGAAAUCUUGUAUCAUCUGGUUUUUUUUUUU
rnacentral:lncRNA from 1 species